rnacentral:snRNA from 1 species
AGAUCUUAGCCAAAAGGCCAAGAAGCAAGCGUAGUAGCUAUUCCUAUCAGUUUAAUAUCGGAUGCAUCCUCUAUCCAAGGACAAUAUAUUAAAUGGAUUUUUGGAACUAGGAGAUGGAAUAGAACUUGCUCCAUCCACUCCAUGCAUUGACCCAGGUAUUACAGUACUUCCAGGAAUAGUGCACCCCCU